rnacentral:rRNA from 1 species
AGUGAACGCUGGCGGUAGGCCUAACACAUGCAAGUCGAACGGUAGCACAGGAGAGCUUGCUCUCUGGGUGGCGAGUGGCGGACGGGUGAGGAAUACAUCGGAAUCUACUUUUUCGUGGGGGAUAACGUAGGGAAACUUACGCUAAUACCGCAUACGACCUACGGGUGAAAGCAAGGGACCUUCGGGCCUUGCGCGAUUGAAUGAGCCGAUGUCGGAUUAGCUAGUUGGCGGGGUAAAGGCCCACCAAGGCGACGAUCCGUAGCUGGUCUGAGAGGAUGAUCAGCCACACUGGAACUGAGACACGGUCCAGACUCCUACGGGAGGCAGCAGUGGGGAAUAUUGGACAAUGGGCGCAAGCCUGAUCCAGCCAUACCGCGUGGGUGAAGAAGGCCUUCGGGUUGUAAAGCCCUUUUGUUGGGAAAGAAAUCCAGCUGGCUAAUACCCGGUUGGGAUGACGGUACCCAAAGAAUAAGCACCGGCUAACUUCGUGCCAGCCGCCGCAGUAA